UACGUAGGGACGAGCGUUGUCCGGAAUUACUGGGCGUAAAGGGCGCGCAGGCGGAUAUUUAAGUCAGCUGUUAAAGUCAUGGGCUCAACUCAUGGAUGCGGUUGAAACUGGGUAUCUAGAGUGCUGGAGAGGUAGGCGGAAUUCCCGGUGUAGCGGUGAAAUGCGUAGAUAUCGGGAAGAACACCAGUGGCGAAGGCGGCUUACUGGCCAGCAACUGACGCUGAGGCGCGAAAGCCAGGGGAGCGAACGGGAUUAGAUACCCUGGUA
rnacentral:rRNA from 1 species